rnacentral:lncRNA from 1 species
AUCCAAGAAGGCAGCCCCUAAAGUUGGUCAGCCUCCCAUUCCUAUUGUUCCUCACUGAUCCAAGCCAGAUGCCUGAUUGCCUCCCGGGGUCUCUGAACACCUCUUUUUGUGGAUGUUUGAUUGCUGGGAGGGGGAACACUUUAAGGAUCAAUGGACAAAGGUGAUCAAGAUCUGGCAACCCUACCUGGAGGGCAAAGUCACUCUCGGUUGAGAAGCACUACAUCAGAACAAGGCUGGAAAUGGUUAUGAAAGCCAUAGAUAAAAACAAAACCAAGCACAGCUUAAUACCACCUCACUAGAGACAUAUUUUAGAUACAUGCUUUAAAGAAAGACACAUUUUCCAUUUAUACUUGAAAGAAACAACCAGAGAAAAAUUAUAUGAAUUCUAGGGACUCAGAAAUGUAACUGGAGCUCAUGAAACAAUAUAUAGAUUCUAUAAAAGCAAGGAUCUUU